GACGAACGCUGGCGGCGUGCCUAAUACAUGCAAGUAGAACGCUGAAGGAGGAGCUUGCUUCUCUGGAUGAGUUGCGAACGGGUGAGUAACGCGUAGGUAACCUGCCUGGUAGCGGGGGAUAACUAUUGGAAACGAUAGCUAAUACCGCAUAGGAGUAGAUGUUGCAUGACAUUUGCUUAAAAGGUGCAAUUGCAUCACUACCAGAUGGACCUGCGUUGUAUUAGCUAGGUGGUGGGGUAACGGCUUACCAAGGCGACGAUACAUAGCCGACCGGAGAGGGUGAUCGGCCGCACUGGGAGUGAGACCCGGCACAGACUCCUACGGGAGGCAGCAGUAGGGAAUCUUCGGCAAUGGACGGAAGUCUGACCGAGCAACGCCGCGUGAGUGAAGAAGGUUUUCGGAUCGUAAAGCUCUGUUGUAAGAGAAGAACGAGUGUGAGAGUGGAAAGUUCACACUGUGACGGUAUCUUACCAGAAAGGGACGGCUAACUACGUG
rnacentral:rRNA from 1 species